CUACGGGAGGCAGCAGUGGGGAAUAUUGGACAAUGGGCGCAAGCCUGAUCCAGCAAUGCCGCGUGAGUGAAGAAGGCCUUAGGGUUGUAAAGCUCUUUCGUCAGGGGAGAUAAUGACGGUACCUGAAGAAGAAGCCCCGGCUAACUCCGUGCCAGCAGCCGCGGUAAUACGGAGGGGGCUAGCGUUGUUCGGAAUUACUGGGCGUAAAGCGCACGUAGGCGGAUGUACAAGUUGGGGGUGAAAGCCCAGGGCUCAACCCUGGAACUGCCUUCAAGACUGUACGUCUUGAGUUCGAGAGAGGUAAGGGGAAUUCCUAGUGUAGAGGUGAAAUUCGUAGAUAUUAGGAAGAACACCGGUGGCGAAGGCGCCUUACUGGCUCGAUACUGACGCUGAGGUGCGAAAGCGUGGGGAGCAAACAGGAUUAGAUACCCUAGUAGUCC
rnacentral:rRNA from 1 species